CUGGUAUCUGAGUAUGGACACUGCCCUUCUCAGUGAGGCUAUAAGAAGUAUGAGCCAGAGGCAAAUGUACAGAAGAUUGAAUCAGCUGAUGAAGGGUCUGAAACAUUUCUACUCUUAAUGACUAGGGUGUUCCUAGGGACAUCAAUUGGCUUCUGGAUUUAAAUAGACAGCUGACUAGAUGCAUCUAAGAAGUGCUACUGCCACAGCAAGUGGUGAUUUCAACUAUACCAACAUAAUCUGAACAGAUCUUCAGAGAGAAAAUGCAGAAUGUGAAAGGAGAAAAGAUGCAGUCACUGAGGUUGAAGAGGGAGGAAGCCUCAAAGGUACACAAAGGAACCAUUUGGUUAAGUUUACCUACUGCCCAUUGCUCUCAAGUGCCUUCUACUGGUUCCUAUCCCAAACUACAACGUGCUAAAUUGCUCUACUGAUUCACCCCCUUGCAACACCGGGAACAACCAUUCUAUAACAAAGAUGCUGCACAGAGCCUUAGUACUCUAAAAACUUCCAAAAAUAAAGCCAGUGGACCAUACUCAACUUAUAGCACAAUUAAAGUAAUGACAGCCCUUCCAGAUGAGAAAAAAAAAAAAAAUCAGACAAUCCAGAUGAGAAAAAAAAUCAGACAAGAACUCUGGCAGUUCAAAAAACCAGAAUGUCCCCUUAUCCCCAAACGAGCCUACUGGCACCCCAGCAAUGGUUCUUAGUCUGAAUUGUCUGAAAUGACAGAAACGGAAUUCAGAAUGUAGAUGGCAAGGAAGCUCAUCGAGAUGGAGAAAAUUGAAAUUCAAAGAAUCCAAGGCAAGCCAGUAAAACAAUUCAAGAGCUAAAGACAAAAUACUAAUUAUUUUUAAAUAAAUAUUUUAAGUUCUAGGAUACAUGUGUACAACGUGCAGGUUUGUUACAUUGGCAUACAUGUGCCAUGUUGGUUUGCUGCACCCAUUAACUAAUCAUUUAGAUUGUGUGGUCUAACUCCAGCCAAUGGGGAAAGGACACAGAAACAGGAACUGAACUGUGUUAGGGAUAAAAGCUCCUGCCCUACCCCACUUGGUACGCUCUUUGUGGUCACGACUGAUGCAGGCAGCACCCUUCGGCAGAAGUAAAUUUGCCUUGCUGAGAAGUCUUGUUUGAUUGCUCAUUUUCUUUGCUAUUCUGAGCUCUUAUUGCAAACAAUCUGGGGGCUCGUCUGGGAUUCCCAUUCUUCUCUGGGAAGGGUCUCCGAUCACCUCUCAUGAGGAGACACAUCUUGCUGCCUUGUUGUGGUGGCCUCAGGGUUAAGGAAUCGCAAUCCACCCCGUGUGACAAAUAAACUCGAGCUCUCAGCAACGUGGGAAGGGGGAAGAGAAGGCCUACAAAUACCGCAGUGACCAGGUAAUUCUGUGCACAGACCAAGGACUCAAGGCCUUCUAGCACA
rnacentral:lncRNA from 1 species